GCCGCGGUGGCGGAAUUGGCAUACGCGCAUGGCUUAGGACCAUGUCCCUUUGGGAUGGGAGUUCAACUCUCCCCCGCGGCA
rnacentral:tRNA from 1 species